UACGAAGGGUGCAAGCGUUACUCGGAAUCACUGGGCGUAAAGCGUGCGUAGGCGGUUUCUUAAGUCUGUCGUGAAAGCCCUGGGCUCAACCUGGGAAUGGCGAUGGAUACUGGGAAGCUAGAGUGUGAUAGAGGAUGGUGGAAUUCCCGGUGUAGCGGUGAAAUGCGUAGAGAUGCGGAGGAACACCGAUGGCGAAGGCAGCCCCCUGGGCUGACACUGACGCUCAGGCACGAAAGCGUGGGGAGCAAACAGG
rnacentral:rRNA from 1 species